ACAAAUCCUGGGAAUGAGAUUACCGACACAUCAGUAGCAGGUGAAGAAUGUCAUGUCACGUUUCUAGAUGAGUUUAUUUACAUUCAAUAUAAUAUAAUAACAAUAAUCAUGAUGCGUAUAACGUCAUCAUUCGGGGGACAAUCAACCUUAAAAUAAAAUAGCUAUGGUAAGCGUGAAAUGUUCCAAUACUGAAUGUAAUAAUGGAAAUCGUAAUGCAAGAUACACCAACUCGAAAGUGGCUACGGGAGCAUAUUUAUUACAAAAUAAUUUAGUGAACCUAACAAAGAUGGUACUUCUGGGUGACAUGACUGACGAGAAUACAGGAAACAAAUUCAGCUAAGCUAAAGAUCAACAGCUAACGUCAGUUUUGCUAACUUGCUAACGUCAGCUAGUAAGCCAGGCAAGCUAACAAGACUUCCAAGAUGUCCAAUCAGAGAAGAUAUGAGGCACAGUUAUAUGAUAAAAAUAAUUGUUUCAAAUGGAUUUGCAAGAAAGGUAGACAUCAGAUAAUAUUUUCCCACUGAGUGCUAGCGAUUAGCUUUGUCUGAAGUGAAGCUAACUGUGUGUAGGCCCAAGCACAACCGCUGACUGUUGCGGACCCUCCAGUCCGCCUUGGACUUGGACCGUCAAGAGAAGCUUCUAUUGCGGCCAGCUGAGGGCCAUCGGUGGGCGAACAGCGAAUGUAGCAAAGCGACAUGGCAGCACAAGAGCCGACCAAAGGAGGGUGGUAGCAAAGGGCACUGAGCGUGGAACAGCGAAGAAGAAAGUGACGUCAUCCAGUGGCGUUGUCGUCUAGGCAACUGCUAUAAUCCGAGCGAUUGCGGUAGGGCACACAGAG